rnacentral:rRNA from 1 species
UACAGAGGGUGCGAGCGUUGUUCGGAAUUAUUGGGCGUAAAGAGCGUGUAGGCGGCCAGGUAGGUCUGCUGUGAAAACUCGAGGCUCAACCUCGAGACGUCGGCGGAAACCAUCUGGCUAGAGUCCGGAAGAGGAGAGUGGAAUUCCUGGUGUAGCGGUGAAAUGCGCAGAUAUCAGGAAGAACACCCGUGGCUAAGGCGGCUCUCUAGUACGGUACUGACGCUGAGACGCGAAAGCGUGGGGAGCGAACAGG